AGGAAGGGGCUCUCCAGAGACGUCCUUGAACUUGGACUCCUGAGAGCAUUUCUGGCAGGAGACUGCAGCCCCUCGGGCAUGAAGAGAGCAUCGGGUAGUCUUGAUCACCUGGCAUCUCCGGUCUCCAGCUCCACGUUCCACAGCAGUGGGGUUUCUCCAGCCCCCUCACCACACCUGUCAGCCUCUGAAUGUCAGAGUCACCAGAACGAGCAAACUCCAGUUCCAGGCAGUGGGGCCUGUGUCUCCUCAGUCCCUCAGGAAACCAGCUCUGAAAUGGGGAGCAAGGACCCCAGGCCAAGAACAGUCUGAGUGGGCAGAGCAGGACUGUAACAGGGUGAUUUUCCCUGGGCUGCACAGCCUGGGGCCUAGCCAAACUGAUUAUAGAAUGAGCCCUAACUGAGAGGCAAAAGGAGAGGCCAGCCCCUUCCACCUCCCCUCCCCCUGGAGCCUCACUAAACUAUCAAAAAUGAUAUACAGUGGAGUCACAUCUUACGUGGGGGUUAGGUUCUAAGGUCAGCGCAUGUUAGGGUUCCUGAGGGGAAAGCCCGGGGAAAGCGCAGCAAAGGUACAGGAGCAGGCCUAGCUGUUUGGUACAGGGCCUUGGGGCAGAACCUAGAAUCCAUGGUUCUCCCAUGGUCUCUAAGGAAGGGGACGUACAAGGCCAGAGAAAGGGCUACCAAGGCCAGCAAGGGCAAGUCGAGCCAAAGUCAGGCUGAGGAAAAGCCCCGAAGGGACGGAGGAACUUGUUUUGGUUAAAGACAUGUUUGGACUCUUCGUUUGGGACGAGCGACCCAGGAAGGAGUGGACUAAAAGAUGGUCACCUGGCUGAAGGGCUGAGUUCCCAGGCAAAAAGCUGCCCGAGUGCCCUAGCACUUUGGGUAGGGGUGCUAGCCCAGCAGGAAAGCUGUGACCCCAGACCUGGCCAGGAAGGGGCACCUAGCGGUUCUGUCCCAGCCUGUCACCCAGAUCCUGCAGCCAGCCCAGCUCAGGGAGCAGUGGGGACAGGUCAUCUCACCCUGUCAAACCAAGCAACAUGGGUCCCAUUGAGGCGCAGAUGGAAGAUCCCAUGUACCUCCUGGAGAGGAUGUGUCCACGAUCCUGGAGACUGUUUCCUGCUGCAGGAGGUUUGAGCAGGGAGAGAACUCGCUGUCACCACCCAGGGGUCUUCAGCCCGGGUCUGCGGGGUUCAUGGGAGCAGCCACACUCCAACCCCCCACCUGGAAGCCUGCUGAAAAUUGCUUACCUCGGACCCAUGAAGUUCAGCCCCAGUUUGAGGCUCCACUAGACUCCACCCACUUCCGAAGUCAGAGAAUC